rnacentral:ncRNA from 1 species
UGAUUAUGAAGGGCAUAGUAAACAACAAAAUGCUUCGAGGAGUUGAAAAUAAGCACAAAUCUAGAGAUUCUGAAUGGGUCAACCUUUUGAACUACUGCAAAAUCCAUGGGCAGGCAAGAGACAACUUUGCAAACCGAAACAUCCCAGUAGUCAAAGAAAAAGAAAGCAAAAGUGAUUCCCGUUGUAGCGGCAAGCGAAAUGGGAGUAGCCUCAACUUUGAAAACAAGAUUGUGGGAAAGUAAUACAAGCAUCAUGCUGCUAGGCAAAGGGGCAGAAUGUUGUACUCUAGUCCUUAGAUAGCAAGAGUCUAGUAUUUAAAAGCAUCACUAGCUUAUGCUCUGACCCAAGUAGCAUGGGGCACGUGGAAUCCCGUGUGAAUCAACAAGUAUAUAUAUAU